rnacentral:rRNA from 1 species
CAAGUCGAACGAUGAACCACUUCGGUGGGGAUUAGUGGCGAACGGGUGAGUAACACGUGGGCAAUCUGCCCUGCACUCUGGGACAAGCCCUGGAAACGGGGUCUAAUACCGGAUACGACCAUCUUGGGCAUCCUUGAUGGUGGAAAGCUCCGGCGGUGCAGGAUGAGCCCGCGGCCUAUCAGCUUGUUGGUGAGGUAACGGCUCACCAAGGCGACGACGGGUAGCCGGCCUGAGAGGGCGACCGGCCACACUGGGACUGAGACACGGCCCAGACUCCUACGGGAGGCAGCAGUGGGGAAUAUUGCACAAUGGGCGCAAGCCUGAUGCAGCGACGCCGCGUGAGGGAUGACGGCCUUCGGGUUGUAAACCUCUUUCAGCAGGGAAGAAGCGCAAGUGACGGUACCUGCAGAAGAAGCGCCGGCUAACUACGUGCCAGCAGCCGCGGUAAUACGUAGGGCGCGAGCGUUGUCCGGAAUUAUUGGGCGUAAAGAGCUCGUAGGCGGCUUGUCGCGUCGGUUGUGAAAGCCCGGGGCUUAACCCCGGGUCUGCAGUCGAUACGGGCAGGCUAGAGUUCGGUAGGGGAGAUCGGAAUUCCUGGUGUAGCGGUGAAAUGCGCAGAUAUCAGGAGGAACACCGGUGGCGAAGGCGGAUCUCUGGGCCGAUACUGACGCUGAGGAGCGAAAGCGUGGGGAGCGAACAG